rnacentral:lncRNA from 1 species
CAAAGAUGGAAGUGCAAUGGAUGGGGGUGCAGUGUGCAAAGGUGCAACGUGCUGGGAUGCAGUGAGUGGAGGUGCAAAGGACGGAGGUGCAACUGAUAGGAGUGCAAUGCAUGGAGGUGCAAUGGGCAGAGAUGCAAUGCAUGGAGCUGCGAUAUUUGCUAUGGGGUCAGCCCAGCUAUGGGGUCAGCAGAGCUAUGGGGUCAGCCCACCCAUAGGGUCAGCCCAUCUAUGGGGUCAGCCCAGCUAUGGGGUCAGUCCAGUUAUGGGGUCAACCAUGAGAUCAGCCCAGCUAUGGGGUCAGCCCAACUAUGUGG